rnacentral:rRNA from 1 species
GACGAACGCUGGCGGCGUGCUUAACACAUGCCAGUCGAACGGUAAGGCCCUGCUUUUGUGGGGUGCUCGAGUGGCGAACGGGUGAGUAACACGUGAGUAACCUGCCCUUGACUUUGGGAUAACUUCAGGAAACUGGGGCUAAUACCGGAUAGGAGCUCCUGCUGCAUGGUGGGGGUUGGAAAGUUUCGGCGGUUGGGGAUGGACUCGCGGCUUAUCAGCUUGUUGGUGGGGUAGUGGCUUACCAAGGCUUUGACGGGUAGCCGGCCUGAGAGGGUGACCGGCCACAUUGGGACUGAGAUACGGCCCAGACUCCUACGGGAGGAAGCAGUGGGGAAUAUUGCACAAUGGGCGGAAGCCUGAUGCAGCAACGCCGCGUGCGGGAUGACGGCCUUCGGGUUGUAAACCGCUUUCGCCUGUGACGAAGCGUGAGUGACGGUAAUGGGUAAAGAAGCACCGACUAACUACGUG